CCUACGGGUGGCAGCAGUGGGGAAUAUUGCACAAUGGGGGAAACCCUGAUGCAGCGACGCCGCGUGAGUGAAGAAGUAUUUCGGUAUGUAAAGCUCUAUCAGCAGGAACGAGACAAGACGGUACCUGACUAAGAAGCCCCGGCUAACUACGUGCCAGCAGCCGCGGUAAUACGUAGGGGGCAAGCGUUAUCCGGAAUCACUGGGUGUAAAGGGAGCGUAGACGGCUGAGCAAGCCUGAAGUGAAAGGCGGGGGCCCAACCCCCGGACUGCUUUGGGAACUGUACGGCUGGAGUGCAGGAGAGGUAAGUGGAAUUCCUAGUGUAGCGGUGAAAUGCGUAGAUAUUAGGAGGAACACCAAUAGCGUAGGCAGGUUGCUGGGACGGUUCUGACACUAAGGCACGAAAGCGUAGGGAGCAAACGGGAUUAGAUACCCUAGUAGUC
rnacentral:rRNA from 1 species